UACGUAGGGUGCGAGCGUUAAUCGGAAUUACUGGGCGUAAAGCGUGCGCAGGCGGUUGUGUAAGACAGAUGUGAAAUCCCCGGGCUUAACCUGGGAAUGGCCAUGGAAACUGGCGAACUGGAGUGUGGCAGAGGGGGGUGGAAUUCCGCGUGUAGCAGUGAAAUGCGUAGAGAUGCGGAGGAACACCGAUGGCGAAGGCAGCCCCCUGGGCUAACACUGACGCUCAGGCACGAAAGCGUGGGGAGCAAACAGG
rnacentral:rRNA from 1 species